CCCAGAGUGGUGUAAUGGUAGCAUCCCUAGUUGACACAUGGUAGAAGGGAGUGGCGUAGUAAACCAUGCCCUUCGGGGGCCGGGGGGUCCGGGUUCGAUUCCUGGCUCUGGGA